ACACACUGUACACACACACACACUGUACACACAGAACUGUACACACACACACUCACAUUGUACACACACACACACACUGUACACACACACACAAAAGGGAACUCCACCAGACGACCAGACGGUGACAUCUCCGUGUCUCUCUGUGUGAGAAUGGGGUGACGUCAGACCCUCUCAUCUCCUCCAUCUCCAUGUCUUAGCAAAGAACUAAAGAAGAAAAAUGCCUCUGUAGAAUAACGCGCCAGAGCUGCACGCUUUACCCGCUCGUUGUCAUGCCGAUUCAUCUCUCUCUUUUUGUUGUUGAUAUUACUACUACUAUUAUUUUAUUUUUGUAAACAUUAUUUUGGGAAUCUGAGGACAACUGAGAAUGAAUUAUUGUGUGGAGGGAGGACACGUGUCUGAGGCUUUACAGUACAGGACCAGGACAACUACACUACCCAGGAAACACUGGGGUUUUGGAAGGUCAACCCUGAUGAUUCUACCCAGAGGUCACCUGAUCAGACCCUGCAGAGGUCAGGGUCAGGACAGACUGAGACUACAGAGACUCUAUUCCACUUUACAUACACUAGCUGAUGCUGAUUGGUUAAGCUUGGCCUUACCAACCAUUCUGUUUGCCAUUCCAUUCUGUGGUCAGUUUAAUAUUAGUGGUUAGAUGGGAGAGGAGGGCCGUUAUAUACAUCCAUUGUGCCAUGGUUUUACCUCCCAGCAUCAUGACUUACUUCAACGUCUUGAUGCUAUGUACCUCCGUUUACACUGUCCGUUACAGUAAUACACACACACACACACACACACACACACACACACGGUCGUUGUGUCUCUGAAUCAACUCAACACAAACUGACUCUGUGUGUGAAACUGAGGACGUUCCACAACGGUGAGGGAGGGAACGAUGGCCUCCUGUUAUAUUGGAGAUUUAAGACCAGGUUAACAACUGAUACAGGGUUAGGAUGUGGGUAGAGCAAGCUGAUCCUAGAUCUGAGAAUAUGAGUCCCCUAAUGGUUAAGGUUAGGAUGUGGGUAAUGCAAGCUGAUCCCAGAUCUGUGAAUAUGAGCAACGUCUACCCUGACCACUACUACGACUGAGCCCUUUACCCAGCAUGCUUUGUGGUCCUCAUUCAAGAUGGCGGCUCUGUCAAAGGGCCAUGUUUUGCAGUCCUUGUAAUAAUCUAAUUUCUAUUCUAAACUUCACCUGGUGAACCAGCUCUCCUUACUGCUGUGUGUGUGUGUGUGUGUGUGUGUGUGUGUGUGUGUGUGUGUGUGUGUGUGUGUGUGUGUGUGUGUGUGUGUGUGUGUGUGUGUGUGUGUGUGGGAGGGGGGUCCUCAGCUUGCUUCCUUCUGAGGAUUUGAUUCAUAAUGACAUCCAGGUUGAGCUGACUGUAACAGUUGAUUCAUAAUGAUGUCCAGGUUGAGCUGACUGUAACAGUUGAUUCAUAAUGACGUCCAGGUUGAGCUGACUGUAACAGUUGAUUCAUAAUGACAUCCAGGUUGAGCUGACUGUAACAGUUGAUUUAUAAUGACGUCCAGGUUGAGCUGACUGUAACAGUUGAUUCAUAAUGACGUCCAGGUUGAGCUGACUGUAACAGUUGAUUCAUAAUGACAUCCAGGUUGAGCUGACUGUAACAGUUGAUUCAUAAUGACAUCCAGGUUGAGCUGACUGUAACAGUUGAUUCAUAAUGACGUCCAGGUUGAGCUGACUGUAACAGUUGAUUCAUAAUGAUGUCCAGGUUGAGCUGACUGUAACAGUUGAUUCAUAAUGAUGUCCAGGUUGAGCUGACUGUAACAGUUGAUUCAUAAUGACAUCCAGGUUGAGCUGACUGUAACAGUUGAUUCAUAAUGACGUCCAGGUUGAGCUGACUGUAACAGUUGAUUCAUAAUGACGUCCAGGUUGAGCUGACUGUAACAGUUGAUUCAUAAUGACAUCCAGGUUGAGCUGACUGUAACAGUUGAUUCAUAAUGACGUCCAGGUUGAGCUGACUGUAACAGUUGAUUCAUAAUGACGUCCAGGUUGAGCUGACUGUAACAGUUGAUUCAUAAUGACAUCCAGGUUGAGCUGACUGUAACAGUUGAUUCAUAAUGACGUCCAGGUUGAGCUGACUGUAACAGUUGAUUCAUAAUGACAUCCAGGUUGCUAUAUUUAGGUAUGGCUUGGGUACACACACACACACACACACACACACACACACACACACACACACACACACACACACACACACACACACACACAGACACACACACACACACACACACAGACACACACACACACACACACACACACACACAGACACACACACAGACACACACACAGACACACACACACACACACACACACACACACACACACACACACACACACACACACACACACAGACACACACACACACACACACACACAGACACACACACACACACACACACACACACACACACACACACACACACACACACACACACACACACACAGACACACACACAGACACACACACACACACACACACACACACACACACACACACACACUGCAUCCCACAGCUGUUGUAACAUUCCUUCAGCUCCAGUCCUAAAGAUAACAGUCUGUACUUGGCUCUCAGGUGGAGGUGACAGGGAUGAUAUGGGUGAGAUAGAGGUACAGAUAGAGGUACAGGCCACCCCCCCCCCCAGUCGAUAGCAGGUUAUAGGUAUUUCUGUUUUUAAAGGCAUUAUCCCAUUGAGCCACCAUAUGUAGUGUUUACCGUGAGUGGGAUCUCCCUGAACCCGGAAACAUUGCCUUUACAAGCCUCACUGCCUCUCUAACCUUAAGUAUUCAUGUUGUGAGCUUGAGGGUUCCUGACUGUCUGGUUUCCUGCUUCACACAAACACUACAGGCCAGGCUUUUAAUCAACUGGUCCCACUUUGAUUUAUUCACCUUCGAUGACGUGCUGUACAUAAUGUAUCUAUCUAUUUAUUUAUUUAUUGACUGAGGAUUGUGAUUGGUUGAGACAGUCUUUCAGCCAAACAGACCAGUUUAAAGCUGAGCCUGUUGGUUUGUCGUGUGUCAUGAUACUGGUCAGCGGGUGGCUCAUUUAGGUUACGGGCAAAUCUGAAAUGGCUCCCUAUUACCUAUGUAGUGCACUACUUUGAGCCAAAAGAAGUGCCCUAUUUGAGGAAGGAAUAUGUAUAGGAAUAGUAAAGGAAUAAGAGGAGCUUUUGAGAAAUACCUGAAGAACAUAUUCCCUAUAUAAAACAAGGCAACUACUUGGCCAAUAGGAGGGAUUCUAGCUCUUAGCUGCUGGCCAAUAGGAGGGAUUCUAGCUCUUAGCUGCUGGCCAAUAGGAGGGAUUCUAGCUCUUAGCUGCUGGUCCCCUAGGGGAUUCUAGCUCUUAGCUGCUGGCCAAUAGGAGGGAUUCUAGCUCUUAGCUGCUGGCCAAUAGGAGGGAUUCUAGCUCUUAGCUGCUGGCCAAUAGGAGGGAUUCUAGCUCUUAGCUGCUGGUCCACUAGGGGAUUCUAGCUCUUAGCUGCUGGCCAAUAGGAGGGAUUCUAGCUCUUAGCUGCUGGCCAAUAGGAGGGAUUCUAGCUCUUAGCUGCUGGCCAAUAGGAGGGAUUCUAGCUCUUAGCUGCUGGUCCACUAGGGGAUUCUAGCUCUUAGCUGUGGCUGCUGGUCCCCUAGGGGAUUCUAGCUCUUAGCUGCUGGUCCCCUAGGGGAUUCUAGCUCUUAGCUGCUGGUCCCCUAGGGGAUUCUAGCUCUUAGCUGCUGGUCCCCUAGGGGAUUCUAGCUCUUAGCUGCUGGUCCCCUAGGGGAUUCUAGCUCUUAGCUGCUGGUCCACUAGGGGAUUCUAGCUCUUAGCUGCUGGUCCACUAGGGGAUUCUAGCUCUUAGCUGCUGGUCCCCUAGGGGAUUCUAGCUCUUAGCUGCUGGUCCCCUAGGGGAUUCUAGCUCUUAGCUGCUGGUCCCCUAGGGGACUCUAGCUCUUAGCUGCUGGUCCCCUAGGGGAUUCUAGCUCUUAGCUGCUGGCCAAUAGGAGGGAUUCUAGCUCUUAGCUGCUGGCCAAUAGGAGGGAUUCUAGCUCUUAGCUGCUGGCCAAUAGGAGGGAUUCUAGCUCUUAGCUGCUGGUCCCCUAGGGGAUUCUAGCUCUUAGCUGCUGGUCCCCUAGGGGAUUCUAGCUCUUAGCUGCUGGUCCCCUAGGGGAUUCUAGCUCUUAGCUGCUGGUCCCCUAGGGGAUUCUAGCUCUUAGCUGCUGGUCCCCUAGGGGAUUCUAGCUCUUAGCUGUGGCUGCUGGUCCACUAGGGGAUUCUAGCUCUUAGCUGCUGGUCCCCUAGGGGAUUCUAGCUCUUAGCUGUGGCUGCUGGUCCACUAGGGGAUUCUAGCUCUUAGCUGUGGCUGCUGGUCCACUAGGGGAUUCUAGCUCUUAGCUGUGGCUGCUGGUCCACUAGGGGAUUCUAGCUCUUAGCUGUGGCUGCUGGUCCACUAGGGGAUUCUAGCUCUUAGCUGUGGCUGCUGGUCCACUAGGUGAUUCUAGCUCUUAGCUGUGGCUGCUGGUCCACUAGGGGAUUCUAGCUCUUAGCUGUGGCUGCUGGUCCACUAGGGGAUUCUAGCUCUUAGCUGUGGCUGCUGGUCCACUAGGGGAUUCUAGCUCUUAGCUGUGGCUGUUGGUCCCCUAGGGGAUUCUAGCUCUUAGCUGUGGCUGCUGGUCCCCUAGGGGAUUCUAGCUCUUAGCUGUGGCUGCUGGUCCACUAGGGGAUUUCAUUUUUGUUCUGAUAGCUAUCUUGACUUUUGUGUCCAGCUUCACUUCAACAGUACUUGAUUGCAAUUUUAUAAAUUCACAUUGAAUCUCGAGAGUGCUGUGAAAAUAGUGAGCUGUUGUGGGCUUACAGAUUUGUAACGUCCGGGAGAGCCCAGCACAGAAUGUUUUCUUUCAGUAGUCUUUUUCCCGACCCCUAGCUAAGCUAGCAGGAUUGGUUAGCUUAGCUAGCUGCAUACUGUCAGUUUAGCUAGGACAGCUGGAUUGGUUAGCUUAGCUAGCUGCAUACUGUCAGUUUAGCUAAAAUGGCUGGAUUACUGACAUCAUCACUCCCCAACCUCAACCCUGUACAGCCCUACUGUAUGCUGGACUUACUGUACUGUACCUAUGUUAAGGCCAAGCACCAAGCUGACAGCACCCCCCCCCCCCCCCCCCCCUCUAUUUCUAACAGAAGAAGUGUGGCCUGGGAGGGACACUGGUCUAUGGGGUAUUUAGGGCCAGGGAUUCAAUCCAUACAGAGCUCUCGGCUAUGCAGCUUUUACAGUGAUCUGCCCGAUACGGUAUGGUGGCCUGGGAGGGACACUGGUCUUUUAAAGGUUCAUGUUACUCUUAGGGAUGACUGUACUCUACACCUCUUGUCUGUCUACCACACUCCCUUACCUACAUUCCUAUACAAUGGGUACUAUGUUGGUAUCUCUAUGUUUAUUAUUUCUGACACAGAGGUCAUAUGGAGAUGGUUGUUUCUUAUUUUAUUAUGUUUUGUCUGUCUACCACACUCCCUUACCUACAUUCCUAUACAAUGGGUACUAUGUUGGUAUCUCUAUGUUUAUUAUUUCUGACACAGAGGUCAUAUGGAGAUGGUUGUUUCUUAUUUUAUUAUGUUUUGUCUGUCUACCACACUCCCUUACCUACAUUCCUAUACAAUGGGUACUAUGUUGGUAUCUCUAUGUUUAUUAUUUCUGACACAGAGGUCAUAUGGAGAUGGUUGUUUCUUAUUUUAUUAUGUUUUGCUCAUUGGUUUUGUGUAAAUACUGAUACUGUGGUGAUGAUAUGAAACAUUUGAUUGGAUAGGAGUGGGGUGGUGAAUCUAAAGGAUUUGAUUGGACGGGAGAGAAAGAGGUGUGGUGAUUCUAAUGGAUUUUAUUGGACGGGAGAGAAUGUGGUGUGGUAAUUUUAAUGGAUUUGAUUGGACGGGAGAGAAAGAGGUGUGGUAAUUCUAAUGGAAUUGAUUGGACGGGAGAGAAAGAGGUGUGGUGAUUCUAAUGGAUUUGAUUGGAUGGGAGAGAAAGAGGUGUGGUGAUUCUGAAGGAUUUGAUUGGACGGGAGAGAAAGAGGUGUGGUGAUUCUGAAGGAUGGCUGCAGUGCCUUGUCAGAGAGCAGUUGUUGUUUUUUUGACACGGUAUUUGGUUCCAGUCUGCACCGUUUUAGUAAAAGUUGUACAAAACUAAACCGUGUGCCUCAUCUCCUUCCUUUCAUCCUCCUACAGUGCCAUUUUAGCCAAGGCUUUUAUUCAAAGCAACUCACAGUGGUGCACACCUGCAUUUUCUAUACACAUGUGACAACAAUUGUUGUUGUGAUGCAACUGAUAUUUAUGUGAAGGUUUGUCCCCCAACACUUUUUAUGCAGAUAACCUGCCACUCUUAUCACGACUGCUGUGCCAAAUGCGUUGUACAUCGGCUGUACAACUUGUGUGCGUGGCCUUAUAGGGAGAACCUCCAUUGCUGUUUCCGUGAUCCCUCGCGUCCUCUCUCUCUCUCUCCUCACCGCCUCCUCAAAACCCAUUGAAUGAGAAGGUCAGAGAGGUCCCUCCUGUUUGGCAUUCUCAUCCAACAGGGUUUUGAGAAAGAGGCGAGGAGAAAGGGCUUUGAGGAAUCCAGGAAAUGCGAUUGUGAUUCUCCCUGUUGUUUGUGAGUUGUGAGUCACAGGGCCCCACCACUCAGACGUGUAACAGGGACAAUCAUUUGAUGGUAGAUCAACUGUGUUUAUUAAUGUGUAAAACAAGGGUCCUAUCAGGAGGCAGAGUACAGAACAUUAGGCUACAACACUAUAAAACAUCAGAGACAGGAGAUGAACAACAACACAAACAUUGUCACGUCAUGGGUGUGUGUGUGAGUGUGAGUGUGUGUCUGUGUGUGUCUGUGUGUGUGUGUCUGUGUGCGUGUGUGUGUCUGUGUCUGUGUCUGUGUGUGUGUGUGUGUGUGUGUCUCUGUGUAUGUUAUAGGCAGCCCACAGCUGAAGAGGCUGUGUACCAGGUCAACACUAGGUAUGUAAAUGAGGGAAUCAAUGUACCUUUUUAAUGGACGACAGUGGGUGAUGAUCUAGUGAUCCGGGUCUAAAAACAGACAGCUGAUCAGUAGUUAAAGAGGCAGUCAGUCUGUGAGGACAGGACAGGAAAUGGGGAAAACCUUCCUCCUAGCAUCACUACGAGACACGUUCAAUGGAGAAGGAGGACGAAGUGGGCUUUAAUCUGUGUCCGGGAAAACCUUCCUCCUAGCAUCACUACGAGACACGUUCAAUGGAGAAGGAGGACGAAGUGGGCUUUAAUCUGUGUCCGGGAAAACCUUCCUCCUAGCAUCACUACGAGACACGUUCAAUGGAGAAGGAGGACGAAGUGGGCUUUAAUCUGUGUCCGGGAAAACCUUCCUCCUAGCAUCACUACGAGACACGUUCAAUGGAGAAGGAGGACGAAGUGGGCUUUAAUCUGUGUCCGGGAAAACCUUCCUCCUAGCAUCACAUUUCACGUGUCAACGUUAAAACAGGAAGUUGGGGUCUCUAAGUUACAGUUAGGCACAUUCAAAGCCAUAAAACAGAGGAGGGUAACCUGGUCUAAUCUAAUCCUGUCUGCAUCAUUUAUUGUUAUCUCCCAUAAAAUAGUAUAAUUGAGAGCUACUGGGAAUUUUGCAAUCCGAGACACUUUGGUGAGAGAGAGAGUACAGUUUGUGUCCUCUUGCCUCUGACUCCCGGGGUCAUUCCUCCACUUGGCCUCUAGGUAUAGCCCUCUCUCCAAACAGCACAGCUCGCCAUCGGGGAUGGAGACAGAAGGGAUCUAUAAAGGAGGUCCCUCUAUACACAACACAGAAAGACCCCUGGGGGUAAACUGGACUGUGUACGUAUGGAUGGACACGUGUGUUUGGACAUGUAUGUGUGACUCGACGUUUACCGCAGGUGGAAAAGGUAACAAAACAAAAAAUACUUUUCCUGAAAAAAAUACAUU